rnacentral:rRNA from 1 species
AUUGAACGCUGGCGGCAGGCUUAACACAUGCAAGUCGAGCGGGGUGAUGGUGCUUGCACUAUCACUUAGCGGCGGACGGGUGAGUAAUGCUUAGGAAUCUGCCUAUUAGUGGGGGACAACAUCUCGAAAGGGAUGCUAAUACCGCAUACGUCCUACGGGAGAAAGCAGGGGAUCACUUGUGACCUUGCGCUAAUAGAUGAGCCUAAGUCGGAUUAGCUAGUUGGUGGGGUAAAGGCCUACCAAGGCGACGAUCUGUAGCGGGUCUGAGAGGAUGAUCCGCCACACUGGGACUGAGACACGGCCCAGACUCCUACGGGAGGCAGCAGUGGAGAAUAUUGGACAAUGGGGGGAACCCUGAUCCAGCCAUGACGCGUGUGUGAAGAAGGCCUUAUGGUUGUAAAGCACUUUAAGCGAGGAGGAGGCUCUUUUGGUUAAUACCCAAGAUGAGUGGACGUUACUCGCAGAAUAAGCACCGGCUAACUCUGUGCCAGCCGCCGCAGUAA